GACGAACGCUGGCGGCGUGCCUAAUACAUGCAAGUCGAACGCAGUGGGGACGGGUGAGGAACAAGUGGGUAACCUCCCAUCAGAGGGGAUAACACUUGGAAACAGGUGCUAAACCGAUACUGAUGGAUGGACCCGCGGUGCAUUAGGUAGUUGGUGAGGAAACGGCUCACCCAGGCAACGAUUCAUAGGCGACCUGAGAUGUCGAUCUGCCACCCUGGCACUGAGACACGGCCCAGACUCCUACGGGAGGCAUCAGUAGGGAAUCUUGCGCAAUUGACGCAAGUCUGACCGAGCAAUGCCGCGUGAGUGAAGAAGGUUUUCGGAUCGGAAAACUCUGUUGUUAGAGAAGCGGUAUCUAACCAUAAAGCCACGGCUAACUCCGUGCCAGCAGCCGCGGUAAUUC
rnacentral:rRNA from 1 species